GAGUAACACGUGGGCAAUCUGCCCUGCACUCUGGGACAAGCCCUGGAAACGGGGUCUAAUACCGGAUAUGACCAUCUUGGGCAUCCUUGAUGGUGUAAAGCUCCGGCGGUGCAGGAUGAGCCCGCGGCCUAUCAGCUUGUUGGUGAGGUAAUGGCUCACCAAGGCGACGACGGGUAGCCGGCCUGAGAGGGCGACCGGCCACACUGGGACUGAGACACGGCCCAGACUCCUACGGGAGGCAGCAGUGGGGAAUAUUGCACAAUGGGCGAAAGCCUGAUGCAGCGACGCCGCGUGAGGGAUGACGGCCUUCGGGUUGUAAACCUCUUUCAGCAGGGAAGAAGCGAAAGUGACGGUACCUGCAGAAGAAGCGCCGGCUAACUACGUGCCAGCAGCCGCGGUAAUACGUAGGGCGCAAGCGUUGUCCGGAAUUAUUGGGCGUAAAGAGCUCGUAGGCGGCUUGUCACGUCGAUUGUGAAAGCUCGGGGCUUAACCCCGAGUCUGCAGUCGAUACGGGCUAGCUAGAGU
rnacentral:rRNA from 1 species